rnacentral:rRNA from 1 species
GUGCCAGCCGCCGCGGUAAUACGGAGGGUGCGAGCGUUGUCCGGAAUCACUGGGCGUAAAGGGCGCGUAGGCGGCCCGGUAAGUAGGGGGUGAAAUCUUGCGGCUUAACCGCAAGGCUGCCUUCUAGACUGCCAGGCUCGAGCACAGUAGAGGCAGGUGGAAUUCCCGGUGUAGCGGUGGAAUGCGUAGAGAUCGGGAAGAACAUCAGUGGCGAAGGCGGCCUGCUGGACUGUAGCUGACGCUGAGGCGCGACAGCGUGGGGAGCAAACAGGAUUAGAUACCCGCGUAGUCC